rnacentral:rRNA from 1 species
AUGCUAUUUGUGUUCUUCAUAUCCCCAAUUAAUUUAAUCAGUCUUACUUUUGACAUAAAACGCAAGUUGACUUUGAACCCCUUCUCCACCACAGGCAAGGUCGAACCCCAACACCGAGAAGGUAUCUUGGCACCAAAUCAUCGCGAGAAGAAGGGAUGUGUUGGUGUGCACGAGAUAAAGCAACCUUGUUCAGAAGUGCUUUAUCAAGUUCCUGUAAAAAAGCUUUCUAGAUAUAACAUUAUGUUUACAGUUUCGCUCGGCUUCCCUAAUCCCAAAGGUAAUAAUAUGAUUCCUUUAUGUUGUUUGCCCAGAUUCAGAAGUGAAUUUUUGCGGUAUAUUUGCUUGUUGUGUGUACUGUAA